rnacentral:rRNA from 1 species
UGGGGAAUAUUGCACAAUGGGCGCAAGCCUGAUGCAGCCAUGCCGCGUGUGUGAAGAAGGCCUUCGGGUUGUAAAGCACUUUCAGCGGGGAGGAAGGCGGUGAGGUUAAUAACCUCACCGAUUGACGUUACCCGCAGAAGAAGCACCGGCUAACUCCGUGCCAGCAGCCGCGGUAAUACGGAGGGUGCAAGCGUUAAUCGGAAUUACUGGGCGUAAAGCGCACGCAGGCGGUCUGUCAAGUCGGAUGUGAAAUCCCCGGGCUCAACCUGGGAACUGCAGUAGAAACGGGCAGGCUAGAGUCUUGUAGAGGGGGGUAGAAUUCAAGGUGUAGCGGUGAAAUGCGUAGAGAUCUGGAGGAAUACCGGUGGCGAAGGCGGCCCCCUGGACAAAGACUGACGCUCAGGUGCGAAAGCGUGGGGAGCAAACAGG